CUACCAUGCAGUCGACGGUAGCAGGCCUUCGGGUGCUGACGAGUGGCGGACGGGUGAGUAAUGCGUAGGAAUCUGUCUUUUAGUGGGGGACAACCCAGGGAAACUUGGGCUAAUACCGCAUGAGCCCUGAGGGGGAAAGCGGGGGAUCUUCGGACCUCGCGCUAAGGGGGGAGCCUACGUCUGAUUAGCUAGUUGGUAGGGUAAAGGCCUACCAAGGCGACGAUCAGUAGCUGGUCUGAGAGGACGACCAGCCACACUGGGACUGAGACACGGCCCAGACUCCUACGGGAGGCAGCAGUGGGGAAUUUUUCGCAGUGGGGGCAACCCUGACGAAGCAAUGCCGCGUGGAUGAAGAAGGCCUUCGGGUUGUAAAGUCCUUUCGUGGGGGACGAAAAGGUGGUUCCUAAUACGAGCUGCUGUUGACGUGAACCCAAGAAGAAGCACCGGCUAACUCCGUGCCAGCAGCCGCGGUAAUACGGGGGGUGCAAGCGUUAAUCGGAAUCACUGGGCGUAAAGGGUGCGUAGGCGGUACGUUAGGUCUGUCGUGAAAUCCCCGGGCUCAACCUGGGAAUGGCGGUAGAAACCGGCGCACUAGAGUAUGGGAGAGGGUGGUGGAAUUCCAGGUGUAGCGGUGAAAUGCGUAGAGAUCUGGAGGAACAUCAGUGGCGAAGGCGGCCACCUGGCCCAAUACUGACGCUGAGGCACGAAAGCGUGGGGAGCAAACAGGAUUAGAUACCCUGGUAGUCCACGCCCUAAACGAUGAAUACUAGAUGUUUGGUACCUAGCGUACUGAGUGUCGUAGCUAACGCGAUAAG
rnacentral:rRNA from 1 species